GCUCCGGGGGUAGGGGUGAAAUCCUAUAAUCCUCGGGGGACCACCAGUGGCGAAGGCGUCAGACUGGAACGCGCUCGACGGUGAGGGACGAAAGCCAGGGGAGCGAACCGGAUUAGAUACCCGGGUAGUCCUGGCUGUAAACGAUGCGUGCUAGGUGUUGGUAUGGCCUUGAGCCGUAUCAGUGCCGUAGGGAAACCGAUAAGCGCGCCGCCUGGGGAGUACGGUCGCAAGACUGAAACUUAAAGGAAUUGGCGGGCGAGCACCACAAGGGGUGAAGCCUGCGGUUCAAUUGGACUCAACGCCGGGAACCUUACCGGGGGCGCCAGCAGUAUGAAGGUCAGGCUGACGACCUUACCAGACAGGCUAAGAGGUGGUGCAUGGCCGUCGCCAGUUCGUGCCGUGAGGUAUCCUGUUAAGUCAGGCAACGAACGAGACUCGCACCUUUAGUUGCCAUCAAGAGGCUUCGGUCUCGUUGGGAACGCUAAAGGGACCGCCACCUUAUAGGUGGAGGAAGGAGCGGGCCACGGCAGGUCAGUAUCUGUCUCUUAUACACAUCUC
rnacentral:rRNA from 1 species